rnacentral:snoRNA from 2 species
UGUUUGCUGUGACGAAUCACAAGGACGGUAUCUGAGUAAGGGUGGCUCUUGAAAAAGUCCCCCUUCGUUGAUUACCCAUCCUAAACUGAUCAUAUGUUCUGAGCGAACA